rnacentral:lncRNA from 1 species
GGAGUCGUCGCGCCUCGGCUGCGAGUCAGGACUGAGGCUGUCCCCCUCCCGCCUCCCUCAGGGGCCCUGGCGCGGGUGCCUCCAGGUUCCACCCCUCACCUGCCCCUUGGUGUCGGGCCGGGACCCUGGAGAGGUCGUGAGGGAGUCCUGGGCGCGGGCUCCGGGAGGCUGCGGCGCGGGUCUGAGGUAAACGGCCCGGCCGCUGCGGGCCCUUGCGGGGGCUGGUUCCAGCAGCAACCGCCGGGCAGGGCCCCUCCCGACCGCGACCUCCUGUCCGCACCGUAGGGCAGCCGGCCGGGCCAGCCUCCCUCACAGGACUACCGAGGAAGAGGUAGGAUUUCACUCUGUCACCCAGGCGGGAGUGCAGUGGUGCGAUCAUAGCGGGGACUACAAGUGUGCACCACAUGCUUGUCUACGAACCUGAAGUAUUCUGAUGCAGUGGAGAGAGUGUAGAACUCUGGAGUGAAGAGAUCUGCCUGGAACCCUGACUCUAUCACUAGCUUUGUCACUCCAAGAGAUGGCCCUGGGACUGAGAAGUGGAUGGCAGCUGUGACAGCAGGAGAGGACUGCCUGAGGCUCCCCGGGCAGAGGCUCUGGUGCCAGGUUAGCAGCAGGACCGACGGCAGACCCAGCAGCCAGAGAGUGAAAGGUGGGUAAAUUGAGGCCCAAGGAGAGGAAUGGACUUGCUGUGGACAUUCCAAGAGCCCAGAGGCAACUCAGGCCAAGGCCAACUUCUCAGCCCCCCUGGCCUGCUCCAUCCCGUCAACUCUCCCAGGAACUACCAGCACCCACCUAAGGGACACCAGCCGCCCUGUGAAAGGACAAGCCAGAGACCCCUGGAGCUCGGAUGUGGAAGGAUGUGGGGAGCUGCCUGGUCCUGUCUCCCACUGCCGCAGAGGGACAUGAGGGAUGGAGCAGGACUGGCAACCUGGAGAGGAAGUCACUCCUGGUCCUGAGCCCUGUUCAAAGGGCCAGGCUCCCCUCUACCCCAUUGUCCAUGUGACAGAGCUCAAACACACAGACCCCAACUUUCCCUCCAACUCCAAUGCUGUCGGCACCUCAAGUGGCUGGAACAGGAUUGGCACGGGCUGCAGCCAUACCUGGGACUGGAGGUUCUCCUGCACCCAGCAGGCCCUUUUGCCCCUACUAGGAGCCUGGGAAUGGAGCAUUGACACAGAAGCAGGAGGAGGAAGGAGAGAGCAGAGCCAGAAACCCUGCAGCAACGGAGGGCCUGCAGCAGCUGGAGAGGGCCGAGUCCUCCCAAGCCCCUGCUUUCCAUGGAGCACUUGCCAGGCAGCCAUUCACAAAGUGUGUCGUUGGCAGGGAUGCACCAGACCAGCUCUCCUGGCACCAUCCCUGGCCACACUCAAGGAACACAGUUAUCCCUGAUGCUCUUGGCCUCUCUCCCUGAGCAGUACUCACCAGGGCCCACCUGACUCACGAUAGCCCCUGCCCAACAGGUACAAGUGGAGCUGGUGCUGGCCCCGGGCUGCCUCCCACCCAGGUGCCUGGCCUGUGGCUCCAAGGUGGACUCCCAGGCCCAGCACCACCAGCAGCAGCAACAGGCGACUGUCCAGUGAGGCCCAGUGGGCCACUGAGGAGCCGCCUCUACCCAGGGAUCCUGCCUCCCACCACGGCCCUCUCUAGGGCAUCUGCAUUGAAGGAUGCCACAGCCUUCUGCCAAUCUGACCAUCCCAGGCUAGAAGGCUGAUGCAGCCCCAGACCACGCUCCAGAUUCAAGGGCCUUGCUGGGGGCAAACAAGGUGGAACAUAACACGUCUGCCAAAGUGAAGGAGGACUCCCCAGUCCCAUCACCCAGAGCCCUGCUGGUGGGGUCAAAUCAUCGGCGCCUGCCUCACGGGCUGGACUGGUGCCAUGCCAGCUGGGAUGCCCAGUUUGGGAGAAGCCUGACCAGGGCCUCUGUUUGGCAAGGCUUCCCUGGCAGCCCUGGGUACCUGCCUGUGUACCCCCGUUCUCAGGGUCUCCCCACCUUCUGUGCUGUGGGUCCCCAUGCUAAACAGCACUAGAUACCGAUAACCUUCUUGACUAUACUGAAGCCACCUUCCUGCUGCCCACCAGCCUCAGUGACAGCAACAGACCCCUCUGCCCAGGCCGGCCUCACACGGGGCUAAAGACACCCACGGCUCCUGCCAGCAGGGUCCACACAGGCCACCUCGCUGCCCGUCCUCUCCCUCAGCCCCUCCUUAAGCACUCCUGCAGGCUCUCCCAGCUGCUGCCAGCACAUCCCGGGUGAGGCUUGCCCGGACCCACAGGCAACCUGGGCCCCUGCCAAGCCAGAAUCCACUCUCAGCUGUGCCUUUCUCGGCCCUGAGCAAAGCAGAUCAGUGGAGUCAGAGGCACCUUUGGGGCAGACAGGGGAAGAGGAGUGCAUUCAUUGGGGAAAGGUUGGGAGCUACCCAGCCGUAGGCUGGCAAAUCAGCUCCUGGCCGGGGGCACCCUGACUUACAGGCUUUGCCUGAUUUCUGUGGUGUAAAUUCUCCCCUUGUGCCCAGUUUCAAGCUACUAAUGUGUCGUGGACCGUAACUGGGGAGCAACACAGAGUCAGCUGGCCACGAUGCCAGUCACUGCUGAGCUGCCAAACCUUACGCGUCCCAGGGGGCACCUGCCUAGAGGCCAGGCACUGCACUGGACCCUCAGACACAGCUUGUGCAGCCUGCUUAGGAGCUUGGGAAAUGACUGUCAUCUGUGAUCUUGCUGGUCCCAGGAAGCCCAUUUUACAGAUGAGGAAACUGAGGCCCAAAGGCACGAAGCGACCUCUCUCAGCCUCACCAAGAGCACUGGAAGGUGGUGUAGGGCUGCGGCCGUGCGCACAGAGAGCACAGCAGCAGGAAGGCUCCUGGGCCUCCAGCUCCCCUCCCUCAGAAGCCUCCCAGAGUGACAGGAAGGUCAGAGGCCCCGGGGAGGGGGCGGGGCCAGGAUCUGGCAAUUUCCUAUCCCUCUCUGUUGGCUCUGUGCAUCUAAUUACUCCUUGAGUCAUCUGUUGCUAACCAGGAGGGGAAAUUAAAUAUUAAUAAUGUAAUACUUCUCUGUGAUUACCCCUUGUUGGGGACAGAUCAGAGGGCAGAUGCUGCCCCAUACAGACAGGGGACACAUGCUGCGGAAUGUGCAUAAUGCCUCUUGAAAGAACCACCUUAUAGGAUUCCACGCGGUCAGACUCAAAACUGCUGCUGCUUCCUGCCUUCCUCCUCACCUCCCCCAACCUGGCCACUUUAAUUAAAACUCCAUUUAAUCAAAACCCACACAUCUUCUGGUUCCUCAUAUGUCGCACUAGCAAGGCCCUCUGUACACAUGCCCAGAUGGUGGCUAUACCCCCCAGAGCCUGCUGCACGGAGGUGCCCACCAGCUUCUAGGCAGUGACCUGCACAUCUGCUCCUGAGUGCGGCUAAGAGCAACAUACAGGACACAGUGCACGGACUCGGACCCGCUCCAGCCAUGCCUGGCCUGUUCCUGGGCUCCAGAAUCCCAGCCUUAGAACCCUCCUGCUGCUUUUCCAUAACAAAUGUUUACCAAGUACCUCCACCAGGCCUGGCAGCACCCCAACUGCUGGGCCAAAGGGAGGUGUGCCCCCGUUGCUGUGCCUGGCCCCAUCUGAGCAUAUGGCAGGGGACCUCAAAGGAGGAAAGGACCCAGGACAUUCCUGGGAGGCGGCUGCUGCCCUGCAGUUUCAGGCACUGCAGGCCACUCCCUGUCUCCACAACAUUGGCUCAGCUAAGAGGAGUCGCAAAUCAAUUUCAAAGCGCAAGAGGUAUAUGAAGGCUAAGAAAGGUAAGCAACAGAAUAAAAAACAUGGAGGUGAAUUCAUUCCAGUAGGAAGGAAGGUAAUACAGUAAUCUAAUAAUGAUUUCAGAGACCUUUAGAAUCUCCAAAGAGGCAAAGAAAGGAAUGGCAUCCGUAGACAAGAAUGAGAACUUCUGAACCGACUGGCGGAAAUGAAACAAGGACAGGUGGAUAUGAACAAGAAAUAAUACAAAAUCCAGGGACUGAAAAAUAGAAGGACUGAAGUAAGGGAUGUGGUGAGCUUCAGGCACACGUACAGUGGAAGAGACGACUGGGGAUCUGAAGCUAGUACUGAGGAAUUCUCCCAGAAACGCCAUGAAGAGACCUAGUCUAGGAGGAAACGGUUGAGAGGCAUGGGGUGGACUGAGAAGCAUCAACAAGUGGCUUGCGGGAGCUCGGCAGGGCACGGCAGGUUGUGGGCCCCACUAUGACUGGCUUUUGGGAUGGCCCAGGGGGGCCUGGGCAUGAACCUCCCAGAACCCAGGGCCCCAGGAUCCCCAUACCCCUUCCAAACUCAUCAGCGCAGGUGCCUUCCUCACUGCCCAGUGGUAAGCAGCCACCCAGCACGGGCUCCACUUCCCUCCUGACCUCCGGGGCUGCCCGGUGGCCCUUACUUCAGGCGCUGGGUGCAGGCUGGGCCCGGGACCCAGAGAUACACCUGGCAUCCCUCCCCCACAGCCCGGGUGCAGCUGCAGCUCUCUGCUCCUGGUGGCAGGAUGUGGGCAAGAUGGGGCCAAGACCCAGCUCCCUGCAGCUGGAGGCUAAGGCUCUGAGCCUGCCUCACAGAGCAGCCCCCACAUCGCAGCCCCGGGGCCAGUGCUGGGGGCCCCAGCUCCUGCUCCCCACACCCCCAUGUGUCCAGGCUAGGGGCCAGGAAGGCCACAGCACCCCCUCCUCCCCGCCUGGGGGCCACUCACCCCCUCACACGAGGCUUCACCUGACAGCCCUCCUCCGAGGGGCCGCACCCCGCACCAAGGUGCUGGGGGCCCACGCUGUGCUGAAAGCAGCUUGGCUGGGGGCGGCUCCUGCUCCAUGUCACAGUCCCUGAGGCCCAGGCAGAGCUUCCCCUCUGCACGCGGCUGCUCACAUGUACACAGGCUGUGGUGAGCCACGUCACGUCACGUGAAGGAUUGGCACCUGCACCUCCCUCAGAUGGCGGGCAACAGCUCCGGCAGCCUCUCCACCAGGUGACGGCCGAUGCCAGAGACCAGGGCUGCAGCGGCACAUCCGAGGAGUGGGCACAGAAGAGCAGCAGCAGCCCCUGCCCAGUGACUCCUGGAACAAGCUUCCCCUGCGGGGUGUUGGCGGGGGGUGGUGAGAGAAUCCCCAUGGCAACUCACAGAAACAUCAUCUGGGUGAGACUUGGAGGAGAAGGUGAAGGGAGAGAGGUAUCGAGAGAUUCUAGCAGAGAAAAUGCCCGAAGCCAGGGUCCUGC